rnacentral:rRNA from 1 species
UUAUUUGAGAGUUUGAUCCUGGCUCAGGAUGAACGCUGGCGGCGUGCCUAACACAUGCAAGUUGAGCGAUUUACUUCGGUAAAGAGCGGCGGACGGGUGAGUAACGCGUGGGUAACCUACCCUGUACACACGGAUAACAUACCGAAAGGUAUGCUAAUACGGGAUAAUAUAUUUGAGAGGCAUCUCUUAAAUAUCAAAGGUGAGCCAGUACAGGAUGGACCCGCGUCUGAUUAGCUAGUUGGUAAGGUAACGGCUUACCAAGGCGACGAUCAGUAGCCGACCUG